UACGUAGGUGGCGAGCGUUGUCCGGAAUUACUGGGUGUAAAGGGCGUGUAGGCGGGAAGAUAAGUCAGAUGUGAAAUUCCAUGGCUCAACUGUGGCACUGCAUCUGAAACUAUUUUUCUUGAGUGAUGGAGAGGAAAGCGGAAUUCCUAGUGUAGCGGUGAAAUGCGUAGAUAUUAGGAGGAACACCAGUGGCGAAGGCGGCUUUCUGGACAUUAACUGACGCUGAGGCGCGAAAGCGUGGGGAGCAAACAGGAUUAGAUACCCUGGUAGUCCACGCCGUAAACGAUGGAUACUAGGUGUAGGAGGUAUCGACCCCUUCUGUGCCGGAGUUAACACAUUAAGUAUCCCACCUGGGGAGUACGGCCGCAAGGUUGAA
rnacentral:rRNA from 1 species